UGGGGAAUCUUGGACAAUGGGGGCAACCCUGAUCCAGCCAUGCCGCGUGAGUGAUGAAGGCCUUAGGGUCGUAAAGCUCUUUCGCCUGUGAAGAUAAUGACGGUAGCAGGUAAAGAAACCCCGGCUAACUCCGUGCCAGCAGCCGCGGUAAUACGGAGGGGGUUAGCGUUAUUCGGAAUUACUGGGCGUAAAGGGCGUGUAGGCGGCUUGAUAGGUCAAAGGUGAAAGCCCUCGGCUCAACCGAGGAACUGCCUUUGAAACCAUCUGGCUCGAGGCCGGGAGGGGGUAGUGGAAUUCCUGGUGUAGCGGUGAAAUGCGUAGAUAUCAGGAGGAACACCGGUGGCGAAGGCGGCUACCUGGACCGGUUCUGACGCUGAGGUGCGAAAGUGUGGGGAGCAAACAGGAUUAGAUACCCUGGUAGUCCACACCGUAAACGAUGAAUGCCAGUCGUCGGGUAGCAUGCUAUUCGGUGACACACCUAACGGAUUAAGCAUUCCGCCUGGGGAGUACGGUCGCAGAUUAAAACUCAAA
rnacentral:rRNA from 1 species